UGGUGUCCCUCCUUCCUCUACCUCCCAUGGGAAUGUUGUGCCUGCAUCCUGAAGGCGACCCUUAGGAUGGAAACUGUGUGCUAAGGGUGAUGGAAAAGAAAGCUAGAGGGAGCUCAGGACACUGAGGAUGACAAAGGCGUCACAUUCAGGAGGAAGAAGACAAUACCAUCGGUGAAGGGUUGAACCCAAAGUGGACGGGACCCUGCGUGACUCAGUCAGACUGCGACCCUCUUUGUGAAGAUUCUGUUUUUACAGGAAUAGAUGUUUUUCAGUUUUUGUUGCUGUUGUUAGUGUGGACAACAUUUCACCAUAAGUAUCUGAAAAAUCUUUUACGUGUCCUCAAACCGCCUUCCAAUGCACUCCAGAACUCACCUUGCAUCACGCUGAUCUACCCUCUCCUGAGAUUAUAUCGAUCCGCACGACUGAGCAGCACAAACAAGGAAUUUCCCCACAAGGGACCCGGAUGAG